ACCGGAGGCAUCAGUAGAGGAUAUUGCACAAUAGGAGCAAGCCUGAAGCAGUGACGCCAAGUGGGGGAUGGAGACUUUCGGGUUGUAAACCCCUUUCGGCGCGGGACAAGGCUCCGUUUGGCGGGGUUGAGGGUACGCGUCAAAGAAGCGCCGGCUAACUACGUGCCAGCAGCCGCGGUAAUACGUAGGGCGCGAGCGUUGUCCGGAAUUAUUGGGCGUAAAGGGCUCGUAGGCGGCUUGUCGCGUCUGCUGUGAAAACGCGGGGCUCAACUCCGCGCGUGCAGUGGGUACGGGCAGGCUGGAGUGCGGCAGGGGUGGCUGGAAUUCCUGGUGUAGCGGUGGAAUGCGCAGAUAUCAGGAAGAACACCGAUGGCGAAGGCAGGCCAAUGGGCCGUCAUUGAUGGUGAGGAGUGAAAGCGUGGGUAGCAAACAGG
rnacentral:rRNA from 1 species